GCGGCGGCCAUGUUAGCCGCAGCACUGUGGGGGCUGUGAGGAGGGUGGGUGGUUGGCGGAGCUCAUGGGAGCUCAGCGCUGACCGAUCCACUUUUAGGAGCUCUCGGCCGGUAUAACGUUGACCCUGUCGGCUGUAGGAUCGGUGCAGGGACCCGGCAGGGGCUCAUCAGCCCCGUGCUCCAUCCUGGAGCCUGGGAAAGGGACAUGGGUCCAGUCCCAGCCCAAGAGGAGCUGAGAGAAACGGUGCUAAAGCCGCCCUGCUGCGUGGCCCGAGCACUGCAAGUGGUAUUUGUUACGUGUACAAGUGGUUGCAGGGGCAGGACUGGACCUUAGCCCUCAGCAAACAUCCACGUUGCUGUUCUGGGGUCAGCUGAGUUUGUGCUGCAAGUGGCUUGGAAACGAGGGAAGGUUUCAGUAUGAGGCACUCAGGCCCUGCUGCAGGCAGGCGUUCAGCUUGUGGGAAAAGUGAACACAAACUGCUGUGGUUUUGCUUUGUUUUAAGGCUGGCUGUAAAUCCUUGUUGCCAGCACUCUGACAACAGUUUGUAUCUCUGUGGCUGCUUCUUAAAGUAACUUAAAUGGAAAUGCUGAUGGACUGGAUGAAGAGCUAUGAGAUACGGUUUAGUGGCUUGUGGUAGUAUUGGUAAUGGCAGGAUGGUUGGACUAGAUGAUCUUGUAGGUCCUUUCCAACGUUGUAAUUCUAUGAUUCUAUGAAAGAAGGAGCCUUCCCUUGUAGGUAAUGUGCUUCCCACUGGGAGGUGAGGUAGGCAGCAAUGUCUGCCUGGCACUCCUGGGUGGGAGGAGUUGGCUUUAAUGUGGCCCUGUGCUACCAAACCCAGUAGUCUGGAGGUGGCUUAGGAACAGUCGUCCCUUCACAAACUGCUCCUAUCUCUGCCACUCUCCUUAAUGUGCUGCCCUACCUCUUCUUUGUCAGGCCACCUCCAACAUAAGACUUGAUUUCACCUAUGCUUUUAAUUGUGCCUUUCCUUCCUGGUCCCAGUUUCCCAUUUUUUGGUGUCACAGGUGCUUCUGCUUCUAAGCCCCUACCUCAGAGCUGCGCUUCAUGGGCAGCAGCUGCCUGGCAGUGUGGUUUCAGAUCAGGAUUUAAUGCAGUGCUGAUUGAUCGCUGCUCCAAUUGCUUCUGGCUGGAGCUGCCGGGGCUCAUGAUAGAUUCUCUCGCUCUCUUUUUCCAGAUCAUCAGUGUUCAUUGAUAUAGCAAGCCUCUUCACUGCUGACCAGACUCAUACAUUUGCCUCCUGCUUUGAGAUCCACCUUGUCAGCCCCUGUACUGCCUUUCUGAGUGAGUGGAGCUUCUGACGCUCCUGAGAUGCUGGAUCUGCGUCUCCAUUGCAAUCUAAUGCACGAAGGGAAGACAAGAAAGCCUGAAAAGGCUCAUGGAGCUUGCAUCUGAGCGCUAUCAGAAGGUCUGUGUCAUUGUUACCUGUCUUCAGAACUCCAAAGAUUUUGACUGCUGUCAAGAGUAGAAAUUUGGCUACCAGCCUUGGAAUUUACUACAGUGGAAUCUUUUAGCCACUUGCUCAGCAGAAAUUCAACAGAAAGUCAAAUGAAGCAAAAUCAGAUUUGACAGACUGUUUCCUUCUUCACAGACGGCUCCUGUAACUGAAGUAACUUUCAACACAGCUCUGCUUGAUUGUAGGAACUCACACUCUAAUGCCACCCAGCCAUUAUGGCUGUGCCUCAUCACCCUUUCAGCCAUCACCUACUAACCUGGGGUAGCAGUGUAGGCUCUGGGCUGUAUUUUCCUCCCUGAAGGUGGACAUCAGCAUGUGGUCAGCAGCAUCAGCCAUGGCUCAGCACCUCCUGCAGCUUCUCAGCCUCAUCCAUCAGCCAGUAGAAGCAGGCAAGUUCUUGCUUCUCUGGGCCUGAUGGUGGGAUCCAGGCACUUGGCCUUUCCCAGACCCACGGUGGCCACAUCUGUUCUGGCUUCCUGCAGAUGCAGCUCCUGCCUGCAGCUCCCAUAUGAAGUGUGCUGGCCAGAUGGUGCAGAAUCAAGUGUGCACGAAGUAGUGCUGGUUGGUGAUGCACAGUACAACGAAGAUAACAUAGGAGCAGCCAGCCUCUUCGCUCUGAUGGUAGACAUUGGAGCAGUUGUUGAACAUGAAGGUUUGGAAGAGGACCAUCGUGGUGGUGAAGUACCUGAAGAGCUGCAGGUGGGACUUGCAGGAGAGGCAGCGCAUGACUGCAGUGCAUGACUACAGAGAAGAUGGCAAGGGUGACAGGUUGCAGAUGCAGAGUGGUCAUGAGAUGCUGAUAGGAGUUGGCUGAGGCCUUGGCUGCAACAGAAUGGCUCUUGGCAGUUUUUUUCCUGCUGGCUGUGCGUGUUCUCUGUGAAAACCGGGGGCCCUGUCUCCAAUUUGGAUGUGCUCCAGCUUCUGCUCCCAGAAGCUUCUGCUAGUUCUUGUCAUGCCUUUCUUUGACUGAUGAAUCAUUUCAUAGCUAGGUAACUGAGUACCUGCUGAGACUGUCUGUUUCCAGGAGCAUAGCCUGCAUUUAUUAUUAUUAUUAUUUUUUUUUUUUUGGUGACUGCUAGCAAAAAAAAAACCAAACCAAACAACCCAAGGGUUUGAACUGUUACUUUCCACUGGUGGGAAACCAAACCCAAAACACCCCUCCUAUGUGCUGUGCUAAAAAAAUCCCCAGAGGUCUCUUCUUUCUCUCAGGUCUCCCCCAGAUACCGAGAGGAGCCAUGAGCAGGCUUUGCUGGAGGGGUUAUUGCAUGCAUCCUCUUCUCCUUCAUUGCAGGUUUCUCCCUGUCGCACGGCGGUGUGCCCUGUAAUGGCUUGCUGUGGUACGUAGCACAAAUGCUGGCAGAGAUGAUGCUUGAGUGGUUUGCAGCCUACCCACGAGGCUGCUAAUUGCCCCUGCCCCUUCUCACUCAAUCCACUCUGUCGUGCUGUGCAGAUGAGCAAAGUGGUCCUGGGAGAGUUGGGAUAAAGCACGUGAAAGUCUCCAGUUCUUUUCUGACUUGUUUGAUUACAAAAACAAGAAAAGCAUUUCAGUUCAACUUGGAAUAAAACAGCCUCUGAUGUGCUCAGCUCCUGUCUUCUGCAGUGCUGCUUAGGACCGUGUGAAGUCCCUGCAGGAGUCAGUGGACGAUCGCCUGCGGCUUCAGUGAAUGGAAGCAGAUCCCUGAAUUGCUUUAUCUCAAAAUCUCCUUUCAUAGACCUGCCUCAGGCUGAAGCUCCCUGGCAGACAGUGCAAAGUGUUGCAUUUGCCCAUUAUAAAGAGACGCUGAGACUGAAGAAAGCUUUUGGACAGAGCAGUGAUAAAAAGGAUUGUCUUUAGCAGUCGAGGUUUGUCCCUGGUAGAGAGCACCUGCUUUUCCUGGAUGAACGGGGAGGAUUUCUGAAUCCAUUUUGGUAUACAGGCAAGGACAACAUACGUGUUUGAAACGAUGCUGAAUGAGUCUGAGAUCCCUGCUGGACUGGAUUAUUCUUUCCCAUCGUGUAGGAGAGCAGCUAUAAUGAGCAGUGUUAUGGUGAUGUGCAAGGGAGGAAGGCUCCCAAAUGCCAGGUGCAAAGCAGAACGAGAACUGCCUGUAUUAAAACUUAUUUGCAUUUAGCCAACUUAUUAAAUGCACUUUUUUUUCUAGGCAGUUCAAGGACUGAAAAAUGCACUUUAGAUAAGCAAUUAAUCAUAUUGAGGGAAUACAGAUUAAAUGAUCAAUAAUAGAAAGCAUAGAGCAUUUGGUUUCCAAAGCACCUCAUUGUGCACCUGGAUUGUUGGUGCAGUUUCAUAGAAUGACAGAAUGGCCUGGGUUGCAAAGGAGCUCAAUGCUCAUCCAGCUCCAAGCCCUGCUGUGUGCAGGUCGCCAAGCAGCAGCCCAGGCUGCCCAGAGCCACAUCCAGCCUGGCCUUGAAUGCCUGCAGGGAUGGGGCAUCCACAGCCUCCUUGGGCAACCUGUGCCACUGCCUCACCACCCUCUGCCUCCAAAACUUCCUCCUCACAUCCAACCCAAACCUCCCCUGUCUCACUUUCAAGCCAUUCCCCUUGUCCUGUCACCACCCACCCUCACACACAGCUGUUCCCCCUCCUGUUUAUCCGCUCCUUACAGGUAUUGGAAGGAUACUAUUGGAAGACACUCCACCAAACACUGGAAAACAGAAUUUAGGACUACAAGAGAGAUUUCUUCUCAUCAGCUCCAAACACCCGCAGACCAGUGAGUGCUGCUGACUGCUGGAGAAGAGGCUCUGGAGCAAACUGCCAGAAAGAGAACUGGAGGAAAACCUUUGUUUCCUGGUAGAAAUCUGAAUCUGCAAUCAGGCUGUGUUGGUCCUAGAGGUGAGGGUGCAUUGAAUCCCUACAGGCAACCCUGCAUAACGUUGUUUGAACCUUGUGGACUGAAUCACAGCAGAUUUGCAUCGAUGCCAACGUGAAUAAAACUUGCAAGCAGGAGCUGAGACCCCUAAAGGGCUCUGUGAUUGAGCACGUCCUCCUUCCAGGCAGCCACGCUGAGAUAUUCAUGGGAACAGCAGGUGCUGAAGCCAGCUGAAGCCCUGGGAAGCUUGAGGGUGAGUGCUUCUGAAAAUCCCAUUUUGUGUUUAAAUCUCAGUAACCUGAAUCAGAGAGAAUCGGUCGGUGUGCGAUUACACCGACAUACAGGAGGGAGCAAUGCUGCACCAGCAAGGGGGGUCCCAAAAGCAGUGUUUAAAUGGGAUGAAAUGGGCACACGUGAUGGGAUGCAGCUGAGAGCCUCCUCUCUGCUGAACCUUGAGAGCAAACCAAGCAAAAUGGGGCAAAAUGGGCUAAAAUUAGCUAAAGGUCUGGCCUGCCCCAAGGUGGGGUUCAGGAUUUCCUCAGGCAUAAGUCCCAAAGGCUCCUGUGUGUCCCCAGCAGCUGCUCCUGUAAAACUGGGGUGUGCUGCUGUAAAUAUGCUGUGCUGUCACAAGGAGCUCACCCUGUGCUCUCUCUAAAAGGAGUUGGAAUCUAAAAGGAAUCCUCCAGUUGAGGAUUAAGCCUUCAGUUGCAAGGACUUCACUUUUUGUUUCCCCCCCCUCCUUUGAGACCUUUGCAUUUUGGCUGUCUCUAGCAAAGGCUUGUGGUCACUGUGUAUAUUUUUAACCUGUAAUUAGAAGCCCAAUUGCUUGUGCAGCCCUCCAGUCAACUAGUUGCAGUUCAUUAAAAAAUAAUUACAAAAAAGACCCAGA